CCCUUCAUGUCAACACAAUCUGAAACAACAAUGAGUUUUAUAAUUCACUUCAUCUGCUCGCUGAUAAUCUUCACUCAUGAUUCCAGUGGACAGACCUUGACUCAGUCUCCAUCAGCUAAAUCUGUUCUUCCUGGAGAUACUGUCACUAUCAACUGCAAAGCCAGCAGCUCUGUGAGCAGCUCCCUAGCCUGGUACCUGCAGACACCUGGAGAAGCUCCUAAACUCCUGAUCUAUAGUGCAAGCACCCUUCCAUCUGGGAUCCCAGCUCGUUUCAGUGGCAGUGGAUCUGGGACUGACUUCACUCUGACCAUCAGCGGUGUCCAGGCUGAAGAUGCAGGAGAUUACUACUGUCAGCAGGGUAACAGCACCCCUCUCACACAGUGAUACAUGUCCGUACAA